UACGUAGGGGGCAAGCGUUGUCCGGAUUUAUUGGGCGUAAAGAGCGUGUAGGCGGUUCGGUAGGUCCGUUGUGAAAACUCGAGCUCAACCUCGAGACGCCGAUGGAAACCCCCGAACUAGAGUCCGGAAGAGGAGAAUGGAAUUCCUGGUGUAGCGGUGAAAUGCGCAGAUAUCAGGAGGAACACCGGUGGCGAAGGCGGCACUCUGGGCCGGUACUGACGCUGGAGGAGCGAAAGCGUGGGGAGCGAACAGG
rnacentral:rRNA from 1 species